CUGUUUCGAUUAAAUUUAUACAAAAUCAAACUAUAAAAGCUUCUGAGCUUGUUGAUUUCUGGCUUGGUCAUUACUCUUUGAGCAU
rnacentral:snoRNA from 1 species